CCUAUGUGGCAAACAGGAUCUGGUCCAAGAGGUGAACAUAUCUGGACCGCUUGGUAAUAGUGACCAUAAUAUAAUUAAAUUUAACAUCCCUGUGGUGGGGAUAACCCCAUAGCAGCCCAACGGGGUAGCAUUUAAUUUCAGAAAGGGGAACUACACACAAAUGAGGAAGUUAGUUAAACAGAAAUUAAAAGAUACAGUGCCAAAAGUAAAAUCCCUGCAAGCUGCAUGAAAACCUUUUAAAGACACCAUGGUAGAGACUCAAUUUAAAUGUAGACCCAAAAUUAAAAAACCUAG